rnacentral:tRNA from 1 species
GCCCCACUGGCGCAAUGGUAGCGCGCUGAACUUCUAGUCUUCACCAUGAUUGGUGGGCCGAAUCUCUUGGGACGCUGAGGGAAGAAGCUUAUUCAGAGGCUGCGGGUUCGACCCCCGCGUGGGGUU